rnacentral:rRNA from 1 species
AAGUCGUAACAAGGUCUCCGUUGGUGAACCAGCGGAGGGAUCAUUACCGAGUUUACAACUCCCAAACCUAUGUGAACAUUACCUCUAUGUUGCUUCGGCGGAGCCGCCCCGGCGCCCGGAACCCCCUGCGGUCCCGCGGCCCGAACCAAGGCGGCCCGCCGGAGGCCACAAACUCUUCUGUUUUUACAGUUUCUUCUGAGUGUGCCGCAAGGCAGUAUACAAAUGAAUCAAAACUUUCAACAACGGAUCUCUUGGUUCUGGCAUCGAGUGAAGAACGCAGCGAAAUGCGAUAAGUAAUGUGAAUUGCAGAAUUCAGUGAAUCAUCGAAUCUUUGAACGCACAUUGCGGCCCGCCAGAAUUCUGGCGGGCAUGCCUGUUCGAGCGUCAUUUCAACCCUCGAGCUCCCCUUUCGGGGGGGGAGCCCGGCGUUGGGGACCCGGCGCUAACAACGCCGGCCCCGAAAUGGAGUGGCGGCCCGUCCGCGGCGACCUCUGCGUAGUAACAACCACUCGCACCGGGACCCGGGCGCGGCCACGCCGUAAAACACCCCACCUUCCGAAUGUUGACCUCGAAUCAGGUAGGAAUACCCGCUGAACUUAA